rfam:Lodderomyces elongisporus NRRL YB-4239 supercont1.2 genomic scaffold, whole genome shotgun sequence.
GACACUUUGGCCGAGUUGGUCUAAGGCGCUAGACUCAAGAACAACAAGUUCUUCUGAUCUGAAAAGAUUGUGAUUUCUAGUAUCGUAAGAUGCACGCGUUCGAAUCGCGUAGGUGUCA